rnacentral:tRNA from 1 species
AGCUCAGUUGGUAGAGCAGUUGACUUUUAAUCAAUUGGUCGCAGGUUCGAAUC